AAAUCGCUAGUGGUUGCCAGGGGCGCUCGGAACUGAAGGUGUGUGGUCAUAGUUCACUUUUUUAGAGUUGUUGUGAACCUGUCCCAAGAUUGUCAACUGGGUAAUUUUAUGGCGAGCCAGACUGUUUGAACCCUGGUUUGAUGGGCCCCUAUCAGAGAGCGUUUGUCCCAGGCUGUCCUCGCUUUCCACCCGCCCGGCUGUUGGCUGUAUACCCAGCUCUUCCGGCUCCGGCGCAGACUUCCUCCAGGUGCUGUGACUGCCUCCAGGACUGAACUUGGGAAAUAAUGGGAUGCGUCUGUACCGGUGCUGUGAGCGAGUCCAUUCACUUCAGUCCACCCCUCCCAUGGCUCGUUUGUUGAGAAAAGUUGCCUUAACUCCCAACGUGAUGGUGAAGAAGAGACACCAGAUAGCUCUCCCUGGCUGCCCCCACCCCCCAUGAGGGCAGAGUGAGAAUGAGAAGGUGACUGUCUCCAAAGCAGGAAGAGGGAAUCACAUCAGAACCUGAAGAUGCUGGCACCAUGAUCUCAGACUUCCAGCCUCCAAAACUGUCAAAAAACAAAUUUCUGCUGUUUAAACCACCCAGUCUAGGGUAUUCCAUUAUAACAGCCCAAACUGAAUUAAGACAGAACUUAGGUAAGCCUCAGUGGAAAAAUCAAAGUGUAGUCCCUGGGACUUGAGCGGGGCCAUUCUAUCUGUAGCAGAAAAUUACCUAAGUUUUAAGAAACAGCUCCUAGUGUGAUACUGCACCUUGGUAGAAACCAAACACUUAACCAUGGGACUCCAAGUGACCCUGUGCCCAGAACUGCCCGUUAUGGUCUGGGUUCUUUUGGUGUUCAGAUGGACCCAGUAGCAUUUAUUAUAAGAUGGAAAUAGUACAUCUGAAAUGGAGCUCAAGCACAAUUGAGAUACUUGUAAGCUGCAGGACCAAGUAAUCCAGACUCCCAUGUCACCCACCAUAGCUGCACCAACAGCUGAUCGGCUGAAGGAGGAGGGAUAAAGGCUAAAUUUGGUUUAAUGGAUGAGUCAGCUUAGUAUGGGGGUGUAAACCAAAAUUAGAUAGUGGCUCCUUUAUAGCCACAUACUUGAUAGGCUUUGAAAAAUAGAGAAGAGGAAAAAUCUUCCUAAUGGGUAGAGUUAAAGCAUUGUCCCUGGUCAUUUGGUUUGUAUAUUAGGAGAAGCAGACUGAAGUAAAUAUAUAGAGAUGCUUGGGCAUAUGUCAGUGGCCUGGCUCGCUGGUGGGGGGCUGGGAAGAAAAAGGCCUGAAAAAUCAAAGACAAGAAUGUCUAGGGUAGAGUCUUGUGGGUGGAUAUACAGGAGAGGGCAUGAAUUGUGAAGACUUUUGUAACACAUUUUGCACUUGCCAGGGAAAAGGUACUAAACAAUGAAGUAGAAUAACUCAUCCAAUUGUCAUUACCAACCUUAAUCAUUGGCUACCUUGGAACCAGUCUGAUGGGAACUAUUGUGGGUUAUAUUGUAUCCUCCCCCCCAUUUUUUUUUUUUUUGAACCAUCACACCAUAAUUUUAUUUAGAAACACUUAGCAAGUUUUUACUCAAAUGGGUGUGGAAACUCAGUGAAUAUUUGUCUUAAUUAUACCAAAAAUAA